AGUGAACGCUGGCGGUAGGCCUAACACAUGCAAGUCGAACGGCAGCACAGUAAGAGAUAGCUCUUACGGGUAACAAGUGGCAGACGGGUGAGGAAUACAUCGGAAUCUACUUUUUCGUGGGGGAUAACGUAGGGAAACUUACGCUAAUACCGCAUACGACCUACGGGUGAAAGCAGGGGAUCUUCGGACCUUGCGCGAUUGAAUGAGCCGAUGUCGGAUUAGCUAGUUGGCGGGGUAAAGGCCCACCAAGGCGACGAUCCGUAGCUGGUCUGAGAGGAUGAUCAGCCACACUGGAACUGAGACACGGUCCAGACUCCUACGGGAGGCAGCAGUGGGGAAUAUUGGACAAUGGUCGCAAGCCUGAUCCAGCCAUACCGCGUGGGUGAAGAAGGCCUUCGGGUUGUAAAGCCCUUUUGUUGGGAAAGAAAAGCAGCAGGUUAAUACCCCGCUGUUCUGACGGUACCCAAAGAAUAAGCACCGGCUAACUUCGUG
rnacentral:rRNA from 1 species